rnacentral:tRNA from 1 species
AGGGGUAUAGCUCAGUGUUACAUAGCAUGAGCUUGGUGAGCACGAGGUCCUGGGUUCAACCCCCAGUGCCUCCG